rnacentral:misc_RNA from 1 species
AAGUCGUAACAAGGUUUCCAUAGGUGAACCUGCGGAAGGAUCAUUACCGAACAACCAAAUCCUCUGUGCCUCCUUGUAGCAGGCAGGAUCGGGGUUCCAAGGGGUUGCCUUCCAGCACCCCUUGGUCUCCAUGCUGCCACUACGUCCUCCUAUUUUACCAAACAAAACCCGUCUGUCGCAUGUUUGUGGCAUCCCCUUGUCGGGCUUGCCCUUUAAACAUAUCAAACAUAACUUUCAACAACGGAUCUCUUGGCUCUC